rnacentral:tRNA from 1 species
GCGAGAUUAGCUCAGCUGGUAGAGCGUCCGCAUGACAUGCGGAAGGUCACAGGUUCAAGCCCUGUAUCUCGCA